CCUAAAACAAGUUUAGGAGAGCAGCCUGGGGGGCUGUGUCUGGUGUUUCUGGUCUAUUAACUGGUUUUGUCUUGACUGUGCUUGAACAUGCAUGUUUGGUUACAUUUUAAAAGGAAGACUUUUCUUUUUUAAAAUCAAGGAUACAUUUCUAUUAAAGCCUACUUAUUGGCAGCUUUAGCCAAUCUAGAGUCUGAAUCUGAACUGAAUCAUUUUCCUGAUGGAGGAAAGACGACGACCGUCUGGUUGAGUUUUCCAACAAUCAACUUUAUGUGUCACUGCAGGAAACACAGAUUCAAAUGCAGCAAAGAAACCCAAAAAUAAACCCGACCCUCUUUCAUGUUUCAUAUUUUCUGUCAGCUUCAACUUUCUUCCGGCCAACAUAAAGCUGAUGUAGCUCUACGUUUAUCCCAUCUAUCUCCAGUAUCUUCUGCCAAAUAAAAUGUAAGGCUUGUCAGCAUGAA